GAUUAAGUUAUUAAGGGCGCACGGUGGAUGCCUUGGCACUAGAAGCCGAUGAAGGACGUUACUAACGACGAUAUGCUUUGGGGAGCUGUAAGUAAGCUUUGAUCCAGAGAUUUCCGAAUGGGGAAACCCAGCAUGAGUUAUGUCAUGUUAUCGAUAUGUGAAUACAUAGCAUAUCAGAAGGCACACCCGGAGAACUGAAACAUCUUAGUACCCGGAGGAAGAGAAAGAAAAUUCGAUUCCCUUAGUAGCGGCGAGCGAAACGGGAAGAGCCCAAACCAACAAGCUUGCUUGUUGGGGUUGUAGGACACUCUAUACGGAGUUACAAAGGACGACAUUAGACGAAUCAUCUGGAAAGAUGAAUCAAAGAAGGUAAUAAUCCUGUAGUCGAAAAUGUUGUCUCUCUUGAGUGGAUCCUGAGUACGACGGAGCACGUGAAAUUCCGUCGGAAUCUGGGAGGACCAUCUCCUAAGGCUAAAUACUCUCUAGUGACCGAUAGUGAACCAGUACCGUGAGGGAAAGGUGAAAAGCACCCCGGAAGGGGAGUGAAAUAGAACCUGAAACCGUGUGCUUACAAGUAGUCAGAGCCCGUUAAUGGGUGAUGGCGUGCCUUUUGUAGAAUGAACCGGCGAGUUACGAUUUGAUGCAAGGUUAAGCAGUAAAUGUGGAGCCGUAGCGAAAGCGAGUCUGAAUAGGGCGUUUAGUAUUUGGUCGUAGACCCGAAACCAGGUGAUCUACCCUUGGUCAGGUUGAAGUUCAGGUAACACUGAAUGGAGGACCGAACCGACUUACGUUGAAAAGUGAGCGGAUGAACUGAGGGUAGCGGAGAAAUUCCAAUCGAACCUGGAGAUAGCUGGUUCUCUCCGAAAUAGCUUUAGGGCUAGCCUCAAGUGAUGAUUAUUGGAGGUAGAGCACUGUUUGGACGAGGGGCCCCUCUCGGGUUACCGAAUUCAGACAAACUCCGAAUGCCAAUUAAUUUAACUUGGGAGUCAGAACAUGGGUGAUAAGGUCCGUGUUCGAAAGGGAAACAGCCCAGACCACCAGCUAAGGUCCCAAAAUAUAUGUUAAGUGGAAAAGGAUGUGGCGUUGCCCAGACAACUAGGAUGUUGGCUUAGAAGCAGCCAUCAUUUAAAGAGUGCGUAAUAGCUCACUAGUCGAGUGACACUGCGCCGAAAAUGUACCGGGGCUAAACAUAUUACCGAAGCUGUGGAUUGUCCUUUGGACAAUGGUAGGAGAGCGUUCUAAGGGCGUUGAAGCAUGAUCGUAAGGACAUGUGGAGCGCUUAGAAGUGAGAAUGCCGGUGUGAGUAGCGAAAGACGGGUGAGAAUCCCGUCCACCGAUUGACUAAGGUUUCCAGAGGAAGGCUCGUCCGCUCUGGGUUAGUCGGGUCCUAAGCUGAGGCCGACAGGCGUAGGCGAUGGAUAACAGGUUGAUAUUCCUGUACCACCUAUAAUCGUUUUAAUCGAUGGGGGGACGCAGUAGGAUAGGCGAAGCGUGCGAUUGGAUUGCACGUCUAAGCAGUAAGGCUGAGUAUUAGGCAAAUCCGGUACUCGUUAAGGCUGAGCUGUGAUGGGGAGAAGACA
rnacentral:rRNA from 1 species